rnacentral:lncRNA from 1 species
CAUGUGUUUGGUGCUACAGAUUAACAGCAAGUGUGUGGCUAUUACAUCAGCAAUGGCCACCAUUCAGAUGCAGUGGCUACAACUCGAUUUUCUAUUUAAACAGGAUGAGCUCGUGCCUUGCGCGGCUGGUCCGACCAUUUGACACCUCUAAAUGGAUGGAUGAAUUACAUUCGAACUUGGAGAACCAAGGCUAAUUUUGGUUAAUUAUUGAUCUGUGGCUGCCAACCAAAAUCAUAGAUUGAAG